rnacentral:rRNA from 1 species
UACGUAGGGUGCAGGCGUUAAUCGGAAUUACUGGGCGUAAAGCGUGCGCAGGCGGUUUCUUAAGUCCGAUGUGAAAGCCCCGGGCUUAACCUGGGAACUGCGUUUGAAACUGGGAGACUUGAGUGUGGCAGAGGGGGGUGGAAUUCCACGUGUAGCAGUGAAAUGCGUAGAUAUGUGGAGGAACACCGGUGGCGAAGGCGGGUCUCUGGGCCGAUACUGACGCUGAGGAGCGAAAGCGUGGGGAGCGAACAGG